AAUGGAAUGCGAGUGGAAGUGAUGUGUGUGGAUGGUUUAAGAGCCUGAACUUGACGUGCUAUGUUUUCCCUUUCUACUCUGUCACGGUUAACCUCUGGGUUCCAGACAGAGACUGCUCGUCAGCGUGGGUCCUGGCAUGAAGAGGAGGCAGAGCAGAGCACCUGGCCAGCCUACGAUGGACAUCCAGAGGUAAAGGAGCCUUGAGAAGAAGUUUUAAGAAUCAGUCUCCUGGAGAAGGGAUCAGCUCUAUGGCCCACAGGUUUCCGAAACCAAGGAAGCAAUUGCACCUGAACGAUGGAAUAAUGACAAACCUUAUGAAGCAGAAAGAACAAUAAUUUAUCCACUUAACAGAAGCCUAAUUUUCUUUUUAAAAUAGAGUAUUGCCAAGCUCAGUUUCCAAAUGGACUAUGCUCUGAGCCACCAGAAGAACAUUCGGCUGCCAGAAGAAUGUCUAGUUUAGUAAAUAAUGAACAUGAAUAAUUAAUGUUUUAGGAAUGCUUUCAGCUACAAGUCACAAACAGCCUAACUAGAGUAGCUUUUUUUUUUUUUUAAUGGGGGAGUGUUCUUCCCCAUAGUGAGAAACCCAGGGUUCAGAGUUUUGAAAUUGGUUCAGCUGCUAAAUCAUGCCAAAGACUGAUAUUUCCUUAACUUUUUCCUGAUAAUUACAAAAAGGCUGUGCAGCUUCUACAAUUAUAUCCUCUUUCCACCGGGAAGAAGAAGGAUGAGAGCAACAAGGUGUGGUACCAAUAUCUGAAAGUAAAUGACUUAGCAGGA